rnacentral:lncRNA from 1 species
AAACACAGAAAAAUCCCAAAAUCAAACACAGAAAAAUCCCAAAAUUCAUUUCAAUCAAUUUCUGCAGCUUCGUCAUCGUCCUCCCUGCAGCGUCGUCAUCGUCUUCCCUGCAGCGUCGUCAUCGUCUUCCCUACAGCGUCGUCAUCAUCCUCCGUGCAGCGUCGUCGUCGUCGUCGGCCUGCAGCGUCGUCAUCGUCUUCCCUGCAGCGUCGUCAUCAUCCUCCGUGCAGCGUCGUCGUCGUCGUCGGCCUGGCUAUGGUGACGGCGCCGGAGAAGAAGAGGGGUUGCUGGUGACGGCUCCAUGGUGACGGCGCCGGAGAAGAAGAGGGUUUGCUGGUGACGGUGGUGACGACGCCGGAGAAGAAGAGGGGUUUGCUGGUGACGGUGGUGACGUCGUCGUCGUCAGAUGGGUUUGCUGGGAUUGGGUUACUGGGUUUGUGGUGGAUGAAGAGGGAGGUUACGGGAAAGAAGGGAUUGGGUUACUGGGUUUGUGGUAGAACAGAG